UCUCAACCCAAUAGAGCAUCUUUGGGAUGUGGUGGAACGGGAGCUUCGUGCCCUGGAUGUGCAUCACAUCGGAUCUUGUUUAAAAAAGGGUUUGUUUGCCUCGAAAUAGUAAUAUUACUUUAAUAAUAUUAUUAAUGUCCAUCCAUUAUCUAUACCGCUUUAUCCAUCUGGGUUGUGGGGAAGCUGGAGCCAAUCCCAGCAUCUUUGGGCGACAGGCAGGGUACACCCUGGGCAGGUUGCCAGUCCGCCACAGGGCCAACACAGACAAACAGUCACAUACACUCGCAGUCACACCUAUGGGCAAUUUAGACUAGCCAUGCAGUUGGGCCAGUCUUGAAACCAGAGCACCCGUGCACAGGGAGAACAUGCAAACUCCACACAGAAAGGCACCCUGGGUAACCCGGGGAUUGAACCCAGGACCACUGCACCACCGUGCCACCUUAUAGUAAUAUUACUUGCAUAUAUUAUAGGGUAUGGUACGAUCUUGCAUAGCUACUUUAUAUACUGGACAUUGCUAAAUAUUUCUUGUUAUCAUUGAUAAUGUUUAUUUGAGAUCCUGUUUAUAUGAGAGUAUUUUAAAUAUGAGUGCACCUGUGUGGGGAUCUAUUGAGAGAUGUCCUACUGUUGGUGAAGACUUGGCAAUGUCAGAUGGCUAUACAUGCAACUGUUCUUAAAUAAGUGUGUGUUGUUAGGGAGACAAUUGUCUGCUUCUGCAGUUGUAGUUUUGGGUGCUUUGUUUCGAUAUGCUGCUUGUUUUAGAGCCUCGUCUGAAAGUGUUAAUCCACACUCCACACACGGUGCCUUGGGCUUACAGUGCUGGCUUAAAGCAAUGCAUUCUGGUCCUGAUGCAAUGCAUCAUGGUUAGAUUUAAAUGUGGUGCUGGUGGCCCUAUACGGUCCAAUGGCCAGUCUCGAUUUUAAAUUUGUGGCCCAAUCUGUAGCCUUCGCGGCCCAUCAGUGGUUGAGAAACGUGGUUUUAAAAGAUAUUUUGUUCCCUGUUAAACCAGCUUUAAAAGACAAGAAAAAACGAAGUCUAUUCCGUCGCGUACGCUUGGUUGGAAAGAUGUUCCUUCGAGAACUCAGUUACCCAAAGGGCAACUUAUACCAAGUCAAUGCACACCAACAGAGGGGAUCCUUCUGCAAAUGUUGGGGGAGUUGCAGAGCCAGGUCCAACACCUGACAGAUUGUUACCCAAAGACCUCCCUUUUGGGGUAACAGUCCUGCAGACACACCAUUAACGAUG